rnacentral:lncRNA from 1 species
GGUAAUAUUUCACCAGGGUGCUUCUAAGUUACUUUUUAAAAUAACUUGUCUUGAGGCAAUUGUUUUCCUUUUAUUUGCUUACAUUCCCAUCAGUGAUGGCCAUAAAACUGCCUUCUCCUUGAUGAGCAGGUAUGUUGCUCCCCUGUUCCCUUAACUAGUUGGCCUUCUGGCCUGCUAUGGCCAAGUUCUGGCCCCAGCUGCUUAUCCCUUCUCCACAAUUCUUUCCAAACAGAAAAACCCAUGGUCACAGUGUUUUUCUCUUAGAAACAAGUUUAAUAGAACUGUCAGCAAAUAACCUAUAGGAAAAGAAAGAAGGCCCAUUUCCGUUCACAGUAUGUUGGGGCCCAGGUACCAACAGUGUAGGGCUUUCUGAUACCCUCAGGAUCAUUCAGGCAGAGUGGAGACUGUUGAGGAUGUAGGUAGGCCAAUCCAAUAGCCCCAGCACCAAGGGCACACACACCUGUUCCUGAGCCCAGACUCACUGGUAAGCUUGUUUCUGGACCGUCUGGGUUCACAGGUAUGAGGGUCAAGUCUAGCUUGGGAUGUGAUUCUUAGGUAGGGCAGCUUUAGGUUUGUUUCCAGGCACGUCUGAACCUCAGUCCACGGAGGCAGCCAGUCAUCACAUGCAGACAUCUCCUUUCUCCACUUGAUGGCACAGGAGGUAGGGAGGGGAAUGUAGGGUUAAGUUCCUUGACCUUGCUUUAUGCAAAGUGAAAUAUAUUUGUGUUACUUCUCUCCAUUUUCCCCAACUGGAUGAAAUGGACCUAUUCUGAAUACUUUUUAUUGAAAAACCAGCCAGUGUGAGGGAAAUGGGAGGUCAGAGAUCAGAAUCCUUUGAAAAGAUUGUGAAAUACUGAUUUUCAUUGUUUAAAGCGUAUUUGUAAAUACCUAUUUGAAUGCUGUGUAUUUGUACAGGAAUUUGAGCAAAAAAAUGUAUAGAGUAUGUCUAAUUGGUAAUAAGCCCUAUAAAUGUGUUUUUAACCUCUGGCAUUCUGUGCUUAUUUAAAACAAGAAAACUUCUAACCAUUUCUUUUGUGUAUUCAUGUCUAAAGAAAAACUGACUUAAAAUUAUCUUACCUGUACCAGAAAAGUUAAAGAAAAAAAUUUGUGCCAGUGUCCCAAGAGGCAUUUUACUGUAUAUAUUGUGGUAGCAUGUUAUAAAUCCAACAAAAAAUGUGACUUUUAGAUGUAAAUAUCUGGCAACUGACUCCCCCACCUCCAUCCCUUGACUGCUGUGAUGUGAAUUAAAGAUGAAUACCU